AACGAACGCUGGCGGCAUGCCUAACACAUGCAAGUCGAACGAGACCUUCGGGUCUAGUGGCGCACGGGUGCGUAACGCGUGGGAAUCUGCCCUUGGGUUCGGAAUAGCUCGCCGAAAGGCGUGCUAAUACCGGAUGAUGUCGUAAGACCAAAGAUUUAUCGCCCAGGGAUGAGCCCGCGUAAGAUUAGGUAGUUGGUGAGGUAAAGGCUCACCAAGCCGACGAUCUUUAGCUGGUCUGAGAGGGUGACCGGCCACAUUGGGACUGAGACACGGCCCAA
rnacentral:rRNA from 1 species